GACGUAGGGCGCGAGCGUUUGUCCGGAUUUAUUGGGCGUAAAGAGCUCGUAGGCGGUUUGUCGCGUCUGCCGUGAAAGUCCGGGGCUCAACUCCGGAUCUGCGGUGGGUACGGGCAGACUAGAGUGAUGUAGGGGAGACUGGAAUUCCUGGUGUAGCGGUGAAAUGCGCAGAUAUCAGGAGGAACACCGGGUGGCGAAGGCGGUUCUCUGGGCAUUACCUGACGCUGAGGAGCGAAAGUGUGGGGAGCGAACAGG
rnacentral:rRNA from 1 species